AACUUGCCAUUGUUUUUUAUCAAAAUUAUACAUGCAAGCCUCCACACACCAGUGAGAAUGCCCACACACCCCAAACAGUUAGCCGGAGCAGGCAUCAGGAUACAACACCCAUUUAGCCAAAAACGCCUUGCACACGCCACACCCCCACGGGCCCUCAGCAGUAAUUAACAUUAAGAUAUGAGCGAAAGCUCGACUUAGUUAUGAUCAAUAAUGGUCGGUAAAUUUCGUGCCAGCCACCGCGGUUAUACGAAAGGCCAGAAACAAUUGACUAGCGGCGUAAAGCGUGACUAGGGCUACAAACGGUCUAGAGGAGAACAGCUGCCCGGUCGUAAAACACUAACGCAUGCUAGAAUUACAACAAAGCGCCUUUAAAAGUACCUUACCUCACGAAAGCCAAGAAACAAACUGGGAUUAGAUACCCCACUAUGCUUGGCCCUAAACAUAAAUAGUAUAAACACAAUACUAUUCGCCAGAGAACUACAAGCGAAAAGCUAAAAACUCUAAGGACUUGGCGGUGCUUCAAAUCUACCUAGAGGAGCCUGUCCUAUAAUCGAUACCCCACGUUAUACCCAACCCCUCCUAGCCAGUCAGCCUAUAUACCGCCGUCGUCAGCCUACCUUAUGAAAGAAGUAGAGUAGGCAAAAAAGUUAUUGACUAACACGCCAGGUCAAGGUGUAGCAUAUGGAGCGGCAGAGAUGGGCUACAUUUUAUCAAAGAAAAAAUACGAAUGGUAAACUGAAACACACACUUGAAGGCGGAUUUAGUAGUAAAAUAAGCAAGAAUGCUUAUUUUAAACUCGCUCUGAAGCACGCACACACCGCCCGUCACCCUCAUCA
rnacentral:ncRNA from 1 species